rnacentral:rRNA from 1 species
UACGAAGGGGUCUAGCGUUGCUCGGAAUCACUGGGCGUAAAGCGCACGUAGGCGGCUUUUUAAGUCAGAGGUGAAAUCCUGGAGCUCAACUCCAGAACUGCCUUUGAUACUGGAGAGCUUGAGUCCGGGAGAGGUGAGUGGAACUGCGAGUGUAGAGGUGAAAUUCGUAGAUAUUCGCAAGAACACCAGUGGCGAAGGCGGCUCACUGGCCCGGUACUGACGCUGAGGUGCGAAAGCGUGGGGAGCAAACAGG